AUUCUUCUCGAGCUCACGAACAACAUGCUGAUGCUACCAAUGAUUAUGCUGGUACUGCUUAUUGCAAAAACGGUCGGUGACAUCUUCAACUCCGCCAUCUGGGAAAUGUACGUCAGGAUCAAAGGAUAUCCAAUACUGGAAGCAAAACCCGAACCUUUCAUGCAGCAGCUUACAGCCAAAGAUGCGGUAACAACGUCCGUGGUUUCACUGUCGCCAGUCGAGCAAGUGUCAACGGUACUAAUGGUUCUGAGGAACACAACGCACAACGCCUUUCCUGUCAUCGGAGAGUCCAGCACGACUGGAAGGAAAGUUUUCCUGGGCCUGGUACUGCGAUCACACUUGCUGGUACUGCUGAAAAACAAGGCCUUCCAUUACGCAUCAAGUGGCUCUGCAGAAAAUUCGAAAAUGUUACAGUUCACGGACUUUGCAAAACCAGCGACAGGGAAGUCUUUAAAGAUCGAGGAUAUAGAUUUACGUCCCGAGGAGGAGCUGGAGUUCAUCAACGUCAGACACAUCACAAACGGAUCACCGUAUACUGUCCUUGAAUCGGCAUCACUGGCCAAGGCC
rnacentral:lncRNA from 1 species